UAUGUGAUCGUCUCUCGCAUAUCAAUAAGCGGAGGAAAAGAAACUAACAAGGAUUCCCCUAGUAACGGCGAGUGAAGCGGGAAGAGCUCAAAUUUGAAAUCUUAAAGGGUUUUCCCUUUACGAAUUGUAGUUUAAAGAAGUGUUUUUCUGUUGAGGUUUUGGUAAAAGUUCUUUGGAAUAGGACAUCAUAGAGGGUGAGAAUCCCGUAUUUGACCUUUACUUUCAACUUUGUGAUACACUUUCAAAGAGUCGGAUUGUUUGGGAAUGCAGUCCAAAAUGGGUGGUAAAUUUCAUCUAAAGCUAAAUAUUGGCGAGAGACCGAUAGCGAACAAGUACCGUGAGGGAAAGAUGAAAAGAACUUUGAAAAGAGAGUUAAACAGUACGUGAAAUUGUCAAAAGGGAAGCGUUUGACACCAGUGUUGUUUUUUCUGAAAAUCAAUUAAAGAACUGUUUAUGCUAAGUUGUUUAGACUUUAUCAGCUAACUGUUUAGUUUUGAGCUUUUCUUUAAUGCACUUUUCAGUUAACAAGUCAACAUCAAUUUCUUUUGCUGUAAAAAAAGCUUGAGGAAGGUGGCUUGAGAUUCGUCUUAAGUGUUUAUAGCCUCUUGCCUAUGCAGUCGGAGAGAUUGAGGUCUGCAGCGUAGAUCCUUCGGGGCUAAAUGCAUUUGUGCUAAGUUAUAGCAUUUUAUAGACAACUUGUUGACUAUGAUUUGUCUUGUAGCUUACUCGCUUAUGUUAUUUUACCUACGCUUAGGAUGUUGAGUAGCGACAUACGCAC
rnacentral:rRNA from 1 species